rnacentral:rRNA from 1 species
GACGAACGCUGGCGGCGUGCUUAACACAUGCAAGUCGAACGGAAAGGCCCUGCUUUUGUGGGGUGCUCGAGUGGCGAACGGGUGAGUAACACGUGAGUAACCUGCCCUUGACUUUGGGAUAACUUCAGGAAACUGGGGCUAAUACCGGAUAGGAGCUCCUGCUGCAUGGUGGGGGUUGGAAAGUUUCGGCGGUUGGGGAUGGACUCGCGGCUUAUCAGCUUGUUGGUGGGGUAGUGGCUUACCAAGGCUUUGACGGGUAGCCGGCCUGAGAGGGUGACCGGCCACAUUGGGACUGAGAUACGGCCCAGACUCCUACGGGAGGCAGCAGUGGGGAAUAUUGCACAAUGGGCGGAAGCCUGAUGCAGCAACGCCGCGUGCGGGAUGACGGCCUUCGGGUUGUAAACCGCUUUCGCCUGUGACGAAGCGUGAGUGACGGUAAUGGGUAAAGAAGCACCGGCUAACUACGUGCCAGCAGCCGCGGUGAUACGUAGGGUGCGAGCGUUGUCCGGAUUUAUUGGGCGUAAAGGGCUCGUAGGUGGUUGAUCGCGUCGGAAGUGUAAUCUUGGGGCUUAACCCUGAGCGUGCUUUCGAUACGGGUUGACUUGAGGAAGGUAGGGGAGAAUGGAAUUCCUGGUGGAGCGGUGGAAUGCGCAGAUAUCAGGAGGAACACCAGUGGCGAAGGCGGUUCUCUGGGCCUUUCCUGACGCUGAGGAGCGAAAGCGUGGGGAGCGAACAGGCUUAGAUACCCUGGUAGUCCACGCUGUAAACGGUGGGUACUAGGUGUGGGGUCCAUUCCACGGGUUCCGUGCCGUAGCUAACGCUUUAAGUACCCCGCCUGGGGAGUACGGCCGCAAGGCUAAAACUCAAAGGAAUUGACGGGGCCCCGCACAAGCGGCGGAGCAUGCGGAUUAAUUCGAUGCAACGCGUAGAACCUUACCUGGGUUUGACAUGGAUCGGGAGUGCUCAGAGAUGGGUGUGCCUCUUUUGGGGUCGGUUCACAGGUGGUGCAUGGCUGUCGUCAGCUCGUGUCGUGAGAUGUUGGGUUAAGUCCCGCAACGAGCGCAACCCUUGUUCACUGUUGCCAGCACGUUAUGGUGGGGACUCAGUGGAGACCGCCGGGGUCAACUCGGAGGAAGGUGGGGAUGACGUCAAGUCAUCAUGCCCCUUAUGUCCAGGGCUUCACGCAUGCUACAAUGGCUGGUACAGAGAGUGGCGAGCCUGUGAGGGUGAGCGAAUCUCGGAAAGCCGGUCUCAGUUCGGAUUGGGGUCUGCAACUCGACCUCAUGAAGUCGGAGUCGCUAGUAAUCGCAGAUCAGCAACGGUGCGGUGAAUACGUUCCCGGG